rnacentral:lncRNA from 1 species
GAUAGUCCAGAGAAGCUGCAUUCUAAGAAGCAUUAUGACCUGUCUUCUGAGAAACAACACGGCAUCACUUUUACCACAUUCUUUUGGUCACAAGGAGAGGGAAUUACACAUCACCUGAUUUUGGAUGCAUGUGUGAGGUAUGCUACUGUACUCACAAGACAUCUGAAACUACACCCAGAUCAUCUAGAAGUUAACAUGUUCCAGGUGAUGUCCCUAUGUAAACCAAGGGUUGGUUUUCAGUGGCACAAGAUAUUUUGCUGUGAGUCAAAGGUGUCUCCCAAACCCCAAAUUUUAGAGGCAAUAGAAAAGAUGGCAACCAAAGGAGUUUCCUACAACCUACAUAGCAAAUAAAAGGAAGACAAAAAACAUCAGCUCUACCCUAUCACAAAUGGAGCCUGUAACACAUUCUAAGAUAAAAUGUAGUAGACUGUCACCAGGAAUUAUAGAUAACAAGAAGGAGAAACAAACAAAAACAAAGGAGUGUAUAAUAAUAAAAACCUAACAAUAAGGCUGACUGAAAUAAGCUCUGCAUUGCCAAACUGUAUUCCAUUGGAGGAGCCCCCAUUUGAGGUUUUCUCAUCUCUUUAUACUUCCUUCCUCUUGAAGCUAUAAAGCCUCAUGCAAUAUGGUAGUAAUUACUGCUGUGCAUUAAUCUUUUAUACCCCAUUACUUCCCAGUCACCAGAUAGGAUUAUAUUUCUUAGAAUCCCUUGUUUGGCUGGGGCAAGUGACAGUCCUGGCCAAAGAGUAAUGAGCACAAGAAAUGUGCGUCACUUCCAUUAGAAUAAUUUAAUUGUUCAUACAAAGACUCUCCAGAACUUUCUCUUUUCUUUAUGACAACUUUUGAUUUCCAGACAGUGGUUUUUCCCUGAGAAUGAAAUGUAAUGACAAUGAGCAGCUUGAGUGCCCAGCCAGUCAGAGACUGACACGCAAUAUAAGUGAGGUAUAAACCACUGUUGUUUUAAGUCAAUGAUAUUUGGUGAUAUUAACACAGCAUAACCUGGCCCAUUCUCACCUAUAUGCGCAGCUAUGAGAAAUGAUAAGCAAAGUCAACCUAGCAGUGAUUAUAAAUAAAAUUAUCUUCUUUCCCUAAGCUUUGACCCUGAAGAAUGGUAGUCUAAAACUGGACCCUAUCUUCAUUACAGAUUUAAACCUCUGAAAAUGGUUAAUUAGAUUGUGUUGUCUGGGCAUGGUUGCUCACGCCUGUAAUCCUAGCAUUUUGGGAGGCCAAGUCAGUUGGAUCACUUGAAGCCAGGAGUUUGAGACCAGCCUGGCCAACAUUUUUGCCAUCUCUACUGAAAAUACAAAAAUUAGGUGAGUGUGUUGGCACAUGCCUGUAAUCCCAGCUCUUGGGAGGCUGAGGCAUGAGAAUCACUUGAACUUGAGCGGCAGAAGUUGUAGUGAGCUGAGAUCAUACCACUGCAUUCCAGCCUGGGCAAAAGAGUGAAACUCUGUCCUAAAUAAUAAUAAUAAUAAUACUAAAUAAAUGGUGUUCACUGUAGUUCAUAGUGAAAAAUGUAAAUCACAUCUCAUUCAAAUGGACCCAAAAUAAAGAUAGCUCUAAAAUUGCAUCAUUCUGUACAUUGCUAAUGACUAUUGAAAGAUGUGGAAAUAUGAUCAAUACAUCAAUUUGAAACAUUUCAAGCAUUCGGGAAAGAGUGCUAUUUAAGGUGAAUAUCAGUGUUACUGGAUUUUUACAUUUUCCGUAGAAUGGGUGUGGAUGGGAUUGCAGCAUUGCCCAUCUUUCUUCCAGCAGCUCUGCUCUACCACUACCUGUAUUCCAUACCAGAUGUGGACUUUAUUUUACAUACAC